rnacentral:rRNA from 1 species
AGUGAACGCUGGCGGUAGGCCUAACACAUGCAAGUCGAACGGCAGCACAGUAAGAGCUUGCUCUUACGGGUGGCGAGUGGCGGACGGGUGAGGAAUACAUCGGAAUCUACUUUUUCGUGGGGGAUAACGUAGGGAAACUUACGCUAAUACCGCAUACGACCUACGGGUGAAAGCAGGGGAUCUUCGGACCUUGCGCGAUUGAAUGAGCCGAUGUCGGAUUAGCUAGUUGGCGGGGUAAAGGCCCACCAAGGCGACGAUCCGUAGCUGGUCUGAGAGGCUGAUCAGCCACACUGGAACUGAGACACGGUCCAGACUCCUACGGGAGGCAGCAGUGGGGAAUAGUGGACAAUGGGCGCAAGCCUGAUCCAGCCAUACCGCGUGGGUGAAGAAGGCCUUCGGGUUGUAAAGCCCUUUUGUUGGGAAAGAAAAGCAGCAGGUUAAUACCCCGCUGUUCUGACGGUACCCAAAGAAUAAGCACCGGCUAACUUCGUG